CAGCAGCAGCCGCGGUAAUACGAAGGGUGCAAGCGUUACUCGGAAUUACUGGGCGUAAAGCGUGCGUAGGUGGUGGUUUAAGUCCGUUGUGAAAGCCCUGGGCUCAACCUGGGAAUUGCAGUGGAUACUGGGUCACUAGAGUGUGGUAGAGGAUAGUGGAAUUUCCGGUGUAGCAGUGAAAUGCGUAGAGAUCGGAAGGAACAUCUGUGGCGAAGGCGACUAUCUGGGCCAACACUGACACUGAGGCACGAAAGCGUGGGGAGCAAACAGGAUUAGAGACCCCUGUAGUCCCUGUCUCUUAUAC
rnacentral:rRNA from 1 species